UACGGGGGGGGCAAGCGUUGUUCGGAAUUACUGGGCGUAAAGGGCUCGUAGGCGGCCAACUAAGUCAGACGUGAAAUCCCUCGGCUUAACCGGGGAACUGCGUCUGAUACUGGAUGGCUAGAGUGUGGGAGAGGGAUGCGGAAUUCCAGGUGUAGCGGUGAAAUGCGUAGAUAUCUGGAGGAACACCGGUGGCGAAGGCGGCAUCCUGGACCAAUACUGACACUGAAAAGCGAAAGCCAGGGGAGCAAACGGG
rnacentral:rRNA from 1 species